AAAAAGGGCAUCUCCCGACUGGUGGCGUGUUGCGUCGCCGGUCAUCAUGGGACAGCCCGCUGGGCCACAAGGCCGCAGCCGUGGCUGCUGAAUCGCUAUCAAGAGAUUUGGGAUGCAUAAUUUUUGUAACACGUGGCUGCUGGCUGCCCGCUGCUCCGGCGCCACA